rnacentral:rRNA from 1 species
AAAUUGAAGAGUUUGAUCAUGGCUCAGAUUGAACGCUGGCGGCAGGCCUAACACAUGCAAGUCGAACGGUAGCACAGAGAGCUUGCUCUCGGGUGACGAGUGGCGGACGGGUGAGUAAUGUCUGGGAAACUGCCUGAUGGAGAGGGAUAACUACUGGAAACGGUAGCUAAUACCGCAUAACGUCGCAAGACCAAAGAGGGGGACCUUCGGGCCUCUUGCCAUCAGAUGUGCCCAGAUGGGAUUAGCUAGUAGGUGGGGUAACGGCUCACCUAGGCGACGAUCCCUAGCUGGUCUGAGAGGAUGACCAGCCACACUGGAACUGAGACACGGUCCAGACUCCUACGGGAGGCAGCAGUGGGGAAUAUUGCACAAUGGGCGCAAGCCUGAUGCAGCCAUGCCGCGUGUAUGAAGAAGGCCUUCGGGUUGUAAAGUACUUUCAGCGGGGAGGAAGGUGUUGUGGUUAAUAACCGCAGCAAUUGACGUUACCCGCAGAAGAAGCACCGGCUAACUCCGUGCCAGCAGCCGCGGUAAUACGGAGGGUGCAAGCGUUAAUCGGAAUUACUGGGCGUAAAGCGCACGCAGGCGGUCUGUCAAGUCGGAUGUGAAAUCCCCGGGCUCAACCUGGGAACUGCAUUCGAAACUGGCAGGCUAGAGUCUUGUAGAGGGGGGUAGAAUUCCAGGUGUAGCGGUGAAAUGCGUAGAGAUCUGGAGGAAUACCGGUGGCGAAGGCGGCCCCCUGGACAAAGACUGACGCUCAGGUGCGAAAGCGUGGGGAGCAAACAGGAUUAGAUACCCUGGUAGUCCACGCCGUAAACGAUGUCGACUUGGAGGUUGUGCCCUUGAGGCGUGGCUUCCGGAGCUAACGCGUUAAGUCGACCGCCUGGGGAGUACGGCCGCAAGGUUAAAACUCAAAUGAAUUGACGGGGGCCCGCACAAGCGGUGGAGCAUGUGGUUUAAUUCGAUGCAACGCGAAGAACCUUACCUACUCUUGACAUCCAGAGAACUUUCCAGAGAUGGAUUGGUGCCUUCGGGAACUCUGAGACAGGUGCUGCAUGGCUGUCGUCAGCUCGUGUUGUGAAAUGUUGGGUUAAGUCCCGCAACGAGCGCAACCCUUAUCCUUUGUUGCCAGCGGUUAGGCCGGGAACUCAAAGGAGACUGCCAGUGAUAAACUGGAGGAAGGUGGGGAUGACGUCAAGUCAUCAUGGCCCUUACGAGUAGGGCUACACACGUGCUACAAUGGCGCAUACAAAGAGAAGCGACCUCGCGAGAGCAAGCGGACCUCAUAAAGUGCGUCGUAGUCCGGAUUGGAGUCUGCAACUCGACUCCAUGAAGUCGGAAUCGCUAGUAAUCGUAGAUCAGAAUGCUACGGUGAAUACGUUCCCGGGCCUUGUACACACCGCCCGUCACACCAUGGGAGUGGGUUGCAAAAGAAGUAGGUAGCUUAACCUUCGGGAGGGCGCUUACCACUUUGUGAUUCAUGACUGGGGUGAAGUCGUAACAAGGUAACCGUAGGGGAACCUGCGGUUGGAUCACCUCCUUA